CGCUGGCGGCGUGCUUAACACAUGCAAGUCGAACGGUGAAAGAGGAGCUUGCUCCUCUGGAUCAGUGGCGAACGGGUGAGUAACACGUGAGUAACCUGCCCUUGACUCUGGGAUAAGCGUUGGAAACGACGUCUAAUACCGGAUACGAGCUUCAGCCGCAUGGCUAGGAGCUGGAAAGAAUUUCGGUCAAGGAUGGACUCGCGGCCUAUCAGCUAGUUGGUGAGGUAACGGCCCACCAAGGCGACGACGGGUAGCCGGCCUGAGAGGGUGACCGGCCACACUGGGACUGAGACACGGCCCAGACUCCUACGGGAGGCAGCAGUGGGGAAUAUUGCACAAUGGGCGCAAGCCUGAUGCAGCAACGCCGCGUGAGGGACGACGGCCUUCGGGUUGUAAACCUCUUUUAGUAGGGAAGAAGCGAAAGUGACGGUACCUGCAGAAAAAGCACCGGCU
rnacentral:rRNA from 1 species